CCUACGGGAGGCAGCAGUGGGGAAUAUUGGACAAUGGGCGAAAGCCUGAUCCAGCAAUGCCGCGUGAGUGAUGAAGGCCUAGGGUUGUAAAGCUCUUUCGGGUGGGAGGCGGUACCACCAGAAGAAGCCCCGGCUAACUUCGUGCCAGCAGCCGCGGUAAUACGAAGGGGGCUAGCGUUGUUCGGAAUUACUGGGCGUAAAGCGCACGCAGGCGGCCUUAAAUUAGAAGUGAAAGCCUUGGGCUUAACCUGAGAAUUGCUUUUAAGACUGGAGCUAGAAUCCAGAAGAGGUAGUGGAAUUCCGAGUGUAGAGGUGAAAUUCGUAGAUAUUCGGAAGAACACCAGUGGCGAAGGCGACUACCUGGUCUGGAUUGACGCUCAUGUGCGAAAGCGUGGGGAGCAAACAGGAUUAGAUACCCUUGUAGUC
rnacentral:rRNA from 1 species